UGUUGUCCUCUGUACAUUGUUGCUCAGUGACUGAUAUUAAAAAUGUUUGAUUAUAAUUCACUUUUUGACAGUAGCAAGAUAUUGGUGGGUUUUUCUUUAGUUAACCACCUCAUGAAGAAAGCCCUGACGUGGCAUUUCCCUGCUGUUACCAUGUGUUUUCCGAAAGAGGUGUGACUCCUGGUAGCUGUUCUCAUCUGUAUCUCCUUAAGUCUAAUUGCAAUUUAAUUCAGUUUUUACAUGGAUCAUGGUCAACUCUAUGAGCUUUAAUUUCCUCUCUCUAUCUCCCAAAUCCAGAGGAAGGACUGGUGCUAAUGUGCUGAACGCUGCGUUUCAUGGAGGGUUAUUAUGUUUACAGUGGAAAAGUGAGUCAUGUUUUGUCUGGAGUGCCUGCUAGUCUCGCUCCAAGUGAUGACAGUCAGGAUGGUGGGGCUGCACAGCUCUAAUAGUCAGCUAAUGAAAGCCUUAUGAAGUGCUUUCAAGGUGAAUUUGGUGGAGUGACGGCAGAGCCUGUGGGAGUGCGGUGUGAUACUUCCCAGAAGGCCCAGUGACAGGAAAACGCUCACAAUCAGGAGAGCUGUUACCUAAUAUGAGCCGGCCAGAGAGCACACAGUGGCGGAAGAAGAGAGGAGAGGGAUGUGUUGCAGGAAGUGCAUCUGUUCUGUAGAGACCACGAUGGAUGAUUCUCACAAGUAUUUUGGUUUAGUUCCCGUCUUCAUCUGUUUGUCAACCUGAACCGAAACCAAACUGGAGCUCCAUGCACAGCUGGUGAAAGGAGAGUUUCAGAGGUCUGCACCAACAGCCAGUCCUCGCUGGAUCAUAGCUCCACUCACGGAUUACCUGCCUGUCGCGUCACAUUACCAAGCCUGCCAUCCAGCUCUCACCCCCGGAUUCCCUUUGCCAAGCCUGCACCUAAGCCUCCAGCCAGCCACCAUCUCACCAUUUCACCAUUCCCUGCCGGUACUUUUAAUGAGACUUGACUUGUUUGUGUGCUCACCUAAUCUGCUUGUCUGCAUCUGGGUUAAGCCUUAAAAUUGGGACACACUGGACAGUGACAAUAUGAUCAUUUAGAGCUAUGAGACUACAGAUUGUAAAAGCAUGGCAACCUUAAAUUCCUGAAAGGUGUGUGUAUGUCUAAAAUAACAGCCCAGGGAUACUCACUUUUUGAAAAAAUUACUGGAGGCCAGUUAAUAGUAGAGAGUAUGGAGUCAUAAUCUUCUCUUGCAGUGCCAACAGGUGGGACUGGUGCACUAAG